rnacentral:rRNA from 1 species
AGUGAACGCUGGCGGCAGGCCUAAUACAUGCAAGUCGAACAGCAGCACAGCAGAGCUUGCUCUGUGGGUGGCGAGUGGCGGACGGGUGAGGAAUACGUGGGAAUCUGCCCAGUCGUGGGGAUAACGUAGGGAAACUUACGCUAAUACCGCAUGCGCCCUUCGGGGAAAGCCGGGGACCUUCGGGCCUGGCGCGAUUGGAUGAGCCCACGUCGGAUUAGCUAGUUGGCGGGGUAAAGGCCCACCAAGGCGACGAUCCGUAGCUGGGUCUGGGAGGAUGAUCAGCCACACUGGAACUGAGACACGGUCCAGACUCCUACGGGAGCAGCAGUAGGGAAUAUUGGACAAUGGGCGCAAGCCUGAUCCAGCCAUGCCGCGUGAGUGAAGAAGGCCCUCGGGUU